GACGAACGCUGGCGGCGUGCUUAACACAUGCAAGUCGAACGGUAAGGCCCUUCGGGGUACACGAGUGGCGAACGGGUGAGUAACACGUGGGUGAUCUGCCCUGCACUUCGGGAUAAGCCUGGGAAACUGGGUCUAAUACCGGAUAGGACCACUGCCUGCAUGGGUGGUGGUGGAAAGCUUUUGCGGUGUGGGAUGGGCCCGCGGCCUAUCAGCUUGUUGGUGGGGUGAUGGCCUACCAAGGCGACGACGGGUAGCCGGCCUGAGAGGGUGACCGGCCACACUGGGACUGGGGUACGGCCCAGACUCCUACGGGAGGCAGCAGUGGGGAAUAUUGCACAAUGGGCGCAAGCCUGAUGCAGCGACGCCGCGUGAGGGAUGACGGCCUUCGGGUUGUAAACCUCUUUCAGCACCGACGAAGCGCAAGUGACGGUAGGUGCAGAAGAAGGACCGGCCAACUACGCGCCAGCAGCCGCCGUAA
rnacentral:rRNA from 1 species